GAUGAACGCUGGCGGCGUGCCUAAUACAUGCAAGUCGAACGCAGAGACGAGGAGCUUUCUCCUCUGACGUUAGCGGCGGACGGGUGAGUAACACGUGGAUAACCUACCUAUAAGACUGGGAUAACUUCGGGAAACCGGAGCUAAUACCGGAUAAUAUAUUGAACCGCAUGGUGCAAUAGUGAACGACGCUUUUGCUGUCACUUAUAGAUGGAUCCGCGCCGCAUUAGCUAGUUGGUCAGGUAACGGCUUACCAAGGCAACGAUGCGUAGCCGACCUGAGAGGGUGACCGGCCACACUGGAAUUGGGACGAGGACCAAGCUCCUAAGGGAGGCAGGAGUAGGGAACCUUCCGCAAUGGGCGGAAGGCUGACGGAGGAAAGCCGCGUGAGUGAUGAAGGUCUUCGGAGCGUAAAACUCUGUUAUUAGGGAAGAACAAAUGGGUAAUUAACUAUGCACGACUUGACGGUACCUAAUCAGACAGCCACGGCUAACUACGUG
rnacentral:rRNA from 1 species